AUCCAUCCGACGAGUCCUGAAUAGGACGAAAUGCGCAUUCUGCUAGAU
rnacentral:hammerhead_ribozyme from 1 species